UACGUAGGUGGCGAGCGUUUGUCCGGAUUUACUGGGCGUAAAGAGCGCGCAGGCGGUCGGUCAAGUCGAGUGUGAAAGCCCCUGGCUCAACUGGGGAGGGUCACGCGAUACUGAUCGACUCGAAGGCAGGAGAGGGUAGUGGAAUUCCCGGUGUAGUGGUGAAAUGCGUAGAUAUCGGGAGGAACACCAGUCGGCGAAGGCGACUACCUGGCCUGUUUCUUGACGCUGAGGCGCGAAAGCUAAGGGGAGCAAACGGGG
rnacentral:rRNA from 1 species